rnacentral:rRNA from 1 species
UGCUGGAGGUAUCAGAAGUGCGAAUGCUGACAUAAGUAACGAUAAAGCGGGUGAAAAGCCCGCUCGCCGGAAGACCAAGGGUUCCUGUCCAACGUUAAUCGGGGCAGGGUGAGUCGACCCCUAAGGCGAGGCCGAAAGGCGUAGUCGAUGGGAAACAGGUUAAUAUUCCUGUACUUGGUGUUACUGCGAAGGGGGGACGGAGAAGGCUAUGUUAGCCGGGCGACGGUUGUCCCGGUUUAAGCAUGUAGGCGGAGGUUCCAGGUAAAUCCGGUACCUUUUAACGCUGAGGUGUGAUGACGAGGCACUACGGUGCUGAAGUAACAAAUGCCCUGCUUCCAGGAAAAGCCUCUAAGCAUCAGGUAACAU